GAAAAUACAACACUCUUUUUAUUUGAUAAACUUUUUGAAAUAUAUUACAAAGAAAAUUGAUACAAACGGAAAUAAGAAAAGAAAAGAAAUAAAGAAAGAAAGAAAAUCUUCAGUCUCGGCUUCAGCUCUCAAAUUUUGCUCUCCAGCUUCCCUCGCUCUUCAAUUUCUCCUCCCUUUUUAUAGGCAACAGUUGCCUUUAACUUUCUUUAUUUUAUUAUUUAUUUAUUAUUUUAAAAUAUAUAAGUGUGUUGAAAUGUGUGAUGGUCAGGAGGCGUAAUGGCCUCCUGACCAUCACCAACAAGUUUUUGUUCUUUUGUUCUUUUUUUAUUUUUAUUUUUUAUUUUUUUAUUUUGUUGAUUAUUUAUUAUUACAUCUCUUUAAUUUUGUUCCAGUAGUUCUUCUUUGUUUCCGCUUUCAAUUCCAAUUCCAUCUUUAUUCCUGAAAAAAUAUUUAUAAAAUAAAAAUUAACAAAUUACGAAUUAAUUUAACAUAAAAUAUCUUUGGGGAGUAUUAAAAUAAUUUAGAAAUAAUGAACGCAUUAAUCGACACAAUAAGUGAAAAACUAAUAAUUUUAUCCUUACUAAAUGUACACUUUUUAGUGUCAAUCACUUAGCAUACCUAGAUUCCUUUUUAAGCUAAUUAGAAAUUCAAGGUUAAUUUCAUUUACAACUUAUGUAGGGGUUGGUAGUGCCCGUCCAAGGGAGCUGGUAUGUGACAAUGGCCAAUCUGUUAAGUAUAUUGUGAGUUCAUAUAUCAUCUUCUUUCUUAAAGUAUUUUGGCUUAUCUAUGCUAGUGACCUUGUCAUCUGUCAAGUAUUACUAUAUAUACUUUUAGAAAAUUUGAUUUGCAAUGUGACUAGUUUAUUUCAAGGUUGAUAUUAUUUGUCCUUCCUCAAGUUCUUAAAGAACGUGGCAUAGAUGAGAUUUCUAUCAGUAACCCUGACCUAAGUAAUGCUUUUAGCAAGUAUUUUCUCAAUUUUAAUUGAUUUAAGUUUUGCAGUAGCACUUGAUAUUAGAUAUGUCAUUAUUUAAAUUGGUGUGGGACCCAUCUCUAAUACCAAUGACAAGUACUAGGAUUUUAUGGAAGCAUGCUGCAAUUUUGCCAUCAAAUUGAUUAUUGAGCCAUCAUUAAUGAUGGUGUCAUCUUUUAUCUUCAUUCAUACAUAAAAAAUAUAGGGUUCAAUAUAGAACUUGAGAAUGGAUUAUUCAUUACUUAUAAAUCUGUAGAUGUUUUCAUGUUUGAAUGAGAUGGCGUUAAACUAUGUUGGUUCUUGUUGAUGAAUUUAUUUAUAGGUGAAGGAUCAACAUUUCCAAGAAUAAAGCAACAUCGGAGAGAUUGGCUCUCGCUCAACAUAACCAAAAUAUUGUGAGUCUUACUGAUGGAAAGAGAAUUGAAAGAAUUUGAAGAGUAAAGAGCUACUGAUGGGAUGAGGAAAAAAUGAUAAUCAAGGGAGGAACAAGUGGAUUAAAAAUCAAUGGAGUAGUAAGGAUGUUGAGAAGCAGCAACAAGAUCAGAGACCUGAAAUUGAUACUUGGCGCAAGCCCAUUGAAGAAGAAGAGCUGGCUCUAAAUAAUGAUUCUGGGAUCUAUCAUGAUAAAAUAGUUUCUUCUAUGGAUCUAGCCAAAGUGUUCUCAAAGUUGGUUUCUAAUCCCUUAUAUGAACAGAGUUCUACUCAGAGUAGUGCGCCUGAACAUAAUAAUCAGAUGCCCUUUUCACGUCUGAUAGAUGCCCGCCAAGUUAGCUCUUCUUGAACUCCAAGACAUCACAUAAAUGGUUAUUAAACUAUAGCAAAAGUCAGAGUAUUGGCUUUGAAAAUCUAUUGUAAGUGAUUGUAACUUUUGUAUCGUAUCACUAGAGGAAUGCACCUGAACUUCAUAGUAUCAAAUUUGUCAAUACUCAUCAAGGAAUUUAUCAUAAUACAGAAUAAGUGAAAUUAUGAAAGCCAUAGAUGUUCAAUUAGUUUAUGUUUUAGCAUGUUUCUACUAUGAUCAAUAUUCUGAUAUGUUCUUUCUAUCCCUCAUCCAUUUCACAAUUGAAAAUAUGGCGGUGAACCCUACUAUUCAUGUCUUGUGAUCUUAUAAGUAAAUUUUUAACCUUUUACAUACAUACGUGUGUAUAUAUAUGUGUGUGUGGGGGGGAGGGGGGCUGUUUGAACCCACCAAUUUACUCAAUAAAUCCAUUUUUAAAAAUAAUUUUUAUCAUUAAAAUACCUUAAAUUAAAUUACAGUUAUGGACAAUAGAGUAUAAUAAAAAAGAAAAGAAACUAGAAUUUUACUCUUUGAAUCCAUCUUUAUAUUUAACAUAGUUUUAUAGAACCCUAAUCAAAUUAUCAUUAAACCAUAAUCAAUCAAGAGGUGUGAUUUUUGUGUCAAGUCAUAUAUUUUUGUUAAAUGGGCACAUGUGAUUCGAUUCAGAGUAACAAAGUUGGUUGUUAUUUAUAUUAAUUUUAUGGAGGAACAAAACAAUAUUGACAAUAAUUUGAAUCUUGAAGUGGUUAGAAUUUUGUUUUUUUAUUUGAUUUUUUUCCCUUUUCCAUUCGAAAUUGAUAGAGAAUAUUGACAAAUUUUCCCUUUGUUUGAAUCAUGAACAAAGUUGGUUGUUCUUUGACUUUUCGUUGAAUUGCAUAAGUUUUCCCUGUUGCGUAAAUUAACAAGUAUACUAUUCCGCACAAGUAAUAUAAUGAAGAGUAAAGUAUCGUCUCACAGAGAUUGUAUAUCUUAUUAGUUACCGAAAUUAUUCUAAUUCUAAUUUAUUUGAACAAUUGAAUAGGCAGAUUUAGAUUAAGAAUAAAAUUAAAUAAAAAACUAAAAAUUAAAUAAAUAUGCAGGCAAAAAUAGAAACCACUAAGAGAUUAAGACACUAGUACAUUCAAUUUCACCAUAACCAUUUCAAUUUAAUCCUCCAUCUAUGCUAUUAAAGUUUAUCACCCAUGUUGACAGUGAAUUUCUCUAAUCUAUUCAAUAUCUUCUCUCAAAUAAUAUAAAAAAUACCUUCAUAUAUCAACGCACUAUAUCUCUGUAUGAAUUUAAAUAUGCAAAGAUUCAUUAAGCUCUAUGGAAAUUCUUAGAGAAAACUGCAUGAAUCACGUUGGCACAUCUCUGUUUUUCGUUCAAUUCAUGGCAUCCAUUACACAAAGCAAAAUUACAUAAAUUUCCUCUCAGUCUUAUUAUGUAUCCUCAAAUCAUUUAAAUAUUGGUCAGAGAUUUAAAAGCAUUAAGCACAAUAAUGAACACUCAACCAUGGAAUAAUAAACUAAAAAUAACAUAGAUUUAUAGAAUUAAAUCUUCAUAUUUAGGUAACAUCGUAGCCCUAGUAAAAUAAAUUAGUUCAUGGGAAUAUAAAGAGAAUCCAUGAAUUUAAUUCGGAACAUUCAAGAAAGAUAAUAGAAAAAGAGAAGAGAAAGAAUAAACUCAAGAAGCUACCUCUCUCCAAUCUUUGCAAUUGACUUUCCAAAUUGUUGCUCCCAGAUUUGCAGCGGCGGCUUCUCUUUUUUUUUUUUUUUCUUGCUCUCGGUUUUUCUCUCCAAUUUUCGCA
rnacentral:lncRNA from 1 species